UGAGCUGAAUGGAGUUGGACGCUUAACCGACCGAGCCACCCAGUGCAUGGAGUUGGGUUCGUCACACUCCUCAGCUCAUGGCCCCUGAGAGGAUUGAAGGAAGGUUCUCAGUUUAAUUUUCUGAGGGCAGGAACUUUGCCUGAUCUGACUGUGUAUCCUCUGAGCCCAGCACACAGGAAGUGCAACUAAGAAGGACCUUGAGGUUGGGUCUUGAAAAACUGAGAGAUGAGAGGCAGUGGCAUAAAUUGUCCCCUUCUGGGUGGUAGGGGCGGAGAGAAGGAUUGGCCGCAGCUCGGUGAAGUGUCGUCUGGUGACCCGCUUUGGACAAACCUGGAGGACACAGGGCAUGGCUGGGCUCUUCCAGGCAGCCUCCAGCAGCCACACGUAGCCUUGUGGCUUCAGCGCACAGCUAGGCACGGCCCGUGCAAAGGUUGUGAUUAUGUGGAUCAGAACCGGCUUUUCCCUGGGAGGAGGGGAAGGAUGUCUCCUCUUUUUCUUCUUCAGUUUUUCCUGAAAAAAAGAAAACAACAACAACAACAACAACAACCAAACCCAAAAAACAAGGAAGUACUCCUCCCUGCGUCCUUCAAAGCGCUGUGGCAUCUUCAGAUCUGGGUACUUGAAAGCUAAAGCUGGUCAUAAUUUCCGAUGGACAUAAUGUGCGUUUGAAAUUCUUUUCCACAUCAAAUUAAAUCUGUCUUGGAC